AAUGAACGCUGGCGGAAUGCUUUACACAUGCAAGUCGAACGGCAGCACGGGGGCAACCCUGGUGGCGAGUGGCGAACGGGUGAGUAAUACAUCGGAACGUGCCCAGUCGUGGGGGAUAACGUAGCGAAAGUUACGCUAAUACCGCAUACGAUCUACGGAUGAAAGCGGGGGACCGUAAGGCCUCGCGCGAUAGGAGCGGCCGAUGUCAGAUUAGGUAGUUGGUGAGGUAAUGGCUCACCAAGCCGACGAUCUGUAGCUGCUCUGAGAGGACGACCGUCCACACUGGGACUGAGACGCGGCCCAGUCUCCUACGUGAGGCAGCAGUGGGGAAUUGUGGACGAUGGGCGCAAGCCUGAUCCAGCCAUUCCGUGUGCAGGUCGAAGGCCUUCGGGUUGUAAACUGCUUUUGUACGGAACGAAAAGGCUCUGGUUAGUACCUGGGGCUCAUGACGGUACCGUAAGAAUAAGCACCGGCUAACUACGUGCCAGCAGCCGCGGUAA
rnacentral:rRNA from 1 species